rnacentral:rRNA from 1 species
GUAGGUGGCAAGCGUUGUCCGGAAUUAUUGGGCGUAAAGCGCGCGCAGGCGGGGUCCUUUAAGUCUGAUGUGAAAGCCCACGGGCUCAACCGUGGAGGGUCACUGGAAACUGGGGGACUUGAGUACAGAAGAGGAAAGCGGAAUUCCAAGUGUAGCGGUGAAAUGCGUAGAGAUUUGGAGGAACACCAGUGGCGAAGGCGGCUUUCUGGUCUGUAACUGACGCUGAGGCGCGAAAGCGUGGGGAGCAAACAGGAUUAGAUACCCUGGUAGUCCACGCCGUAAACGAUGAGUGCUAAGUGUUAGGGGGUUUCCGCCCCUUAGUGCUGCAGCUAACGCAUUAAGCACUCCGCCUGGGGAGUACGGCCGCAAAGGCUG